rnacentral:rRNA from 1 species
GACGAACGCUGGCGGCGUGCCUAACACAUGCAAGUCGGGCGAAUGAAGUUCCUUCGGGAAUGGAUUUAGCGGCGGACGGGUGAGUAACACGUGGGCAACCUGCCUCAUAGAGGGGAAUAGCCUCCCGAAAGGGAGAUUAAUACCGCAUAAGAUUGUAGUACCGCAUGAUACAGCAAUUAAAGGAGCAAUCCGCUAUGAGAUGGGCCCGCGGCGCAUUAGCUAGUUGGUGAGGUAAUGGCUCACCAAGGCGACGAUGCGUAGCCGACCUGAGAGGGUGAUCGGCCACAUUGGGACUGAGACACGGCCCAGACUCCUACGGGAGGCAGCAGUGGGGAAUAUUGCACAAUGGGGGAAACCCUGAUGCAGCAACGCCGCGUGAGUGAUGACGGCCUUCGGGUUGUAAAGCUCUGUCUUCAGGGACGAUAAUGACGGUACCUGAGGAGGAAGCCACGGCUAACUACGUG